GCCGGGCGUGGUGGCGCGCGCCUGUAGUCCCAGCUACUCGGGAGGCUGAGGUGGGAGGAUCGCUUGAGUCCAGGAGUUCUGGGCUGCAGUGCGCUAUGCCGAUCGGGUGUCCGCACUAAGUUCGGCAUCAAUAUGGUGACCUCCCGGGAGCGGGGGACCACCAGGUUGCCUAAGGAGGGGUGAACCGGCCCAGGUCGGAAACGGAGCAGGUCAAAACUCCCGUGCUGAUCAGUAGUGGGAUCGCGCCUGUGAAUAGCCACUGUACUCCAGCCUGGGCAAUAUAGUGAGACCCCGUCUCUU
rnacentral:SRP_RNA from 1 species